UUGCCCUAGUAACGGCGAGUGAAGCGGCAACAGCUCAAAUUUGAAAUCUGGUCGCAAGGCCCGAGUUGUAAUUUGUAGAGGAUGCUUUGGGCGCGGCGCCUUCCGAGUUCCCUGGAACGGGACGCCACAGAGGGUGAGAGCCCCGUCUGGCUGGAUGCCUAGCCUAUGUAAAGCUCCUUCGACGAGUCGAGUAGUUUGGGAAUGCUGCUCAAAAUGGGAGGUAUAUGUCUUCUAAAGCUAAAUACCGGCCAGAGACCGAUAGCGCACAAGUAGAGUGAUCGAAAGAUGAAAAGCACUUUGAAAAGAGGGUUAAAUAGUACGUGAAAUUGUUGAGAGGGAAGCGCUUCUGACCAGACUUGGGCUCGGUGAAUCAUCCAGCGUUCUCGCUGGUGCACUUCGCCGGUCCAGGCCAACAUCAGUUCGUCGCGGGGGAUAAAGGCUUCGGGAAAGUGGCCCCCUCGGGGGUGUUAUAGACCGUUGUGCAAUACCCUGCGAUGGACUGAGGUUCGCGCUCCGCUAGGAUGUUGGCGUAAUGGUCAUCAGCGACCCGUCUUGAAACACGGACCAAGGAGUCGUCUUCGUAUGCGAGUGUUCGGGUGUCAAACCCCUACGCGAAAUGAAAGUGAACGGAGGGGAGAGCUUCGGCGCAUCCUCGACCGAUCCUGAUGUUCUCGGAUGGAUUUGAGUAAGAGCAUACGGGGCCGGACCCGAAAGAAGGUGAACUAUGCCUGUAUAGGGUGAAGCCAGAGGAAACUCUGGUGGAGGCUCGCAGCGGUUCUGACGUGCAAAUCGAUCGUCAAAUAUGGGCAU
rnacentral:rRNA from 1 species